GGCUGAAACUUAAAAGGAAUUGGCGGGGGAGCACCACAACGGGUGGAGCGUGCGGUUUAAUUGGACUCAACGCCGGGCAGCUCACCGGAUAGGACAGCGGAAUGAUAGCCGGGCUGAAGACCUUGCUUGACCCAGCUGAGAGGAGGUGCAUGGCCGUCGUCAGUUCGUACUGUGAAGCAUCCUGUUUAGUCAGGCAACGAGCGAGACCCACGCCAACAGUUGCUAGCAUGUUCUCCGGAAUGAUGAGGACACUGUUGGGACCGCCUCUGCUAAAGAGGAGGAAGGAAUGGGCAACGGUAGGUCAGCAUGCCCCGAAUUAUCCGGGCUACACGCGGGCUACAAUGGUCAGGACAAUGGGAAACGGCACUGAAAAGUGUAGUCAAUCUCCUAAACCUGUCCCAAGUUCGGAUUGUGGGCUGCAACUCGCCCACAUGAAGCUGGAAUCCGUAGUAAUCGCGUUUCAAAAUAGCG
rnacentral:rRNA from 1 species